UACGGAGGGGGCUAGCGUUGUUCGGAAUUACUGGGCGUAAAGCGCACGUAGGCGGCUUCGCAAGUCAGCGGUGAAAGCCCGGGGCUCAACCACGGAACUGCCUUUGAGACAGCGUCGCUCGAAUCCGGGAGAGGCGGAUGGAAUUCCGGGUGUAGAGGUGAAAUUCGUAGAUAUUAGGAAGAACACCAGUGGCGAAGGCGGCCCGCUGGACCGGAAUUGACGCUGAGGUGCGAAAGCGUGGGGAGCAAACAGG
rnacentral:rRNA from 1 species